CACUGAUCUACCAACAACAAAUGCAGGACUAACAAACACGAAUGCAGGACGAACAGCGACAACUGCAGAACCAACAACAAGAACUGCAGGAUACAAAACUGAAGCACCUACCACGACAACUGCUGAACCAACAUCAUCAACUGCAGAACCAACCACUAGAACUGCAGGACCUACAACCAAAACUUUAGGACAAAUAACAACAACUAAAAUUACGAAAAUAAUAACUUCAGGACCAACACUAACAACUCCAAGACCAACAUCAACAAACACGGAACCAAAAAUAGAAAAUGCAGGACGAACAACAAGUGUUCGACUGACCACAACAACUGCAGGAUUUAUAACAACAACUGAAAGACCCAUAACUACUACUGCAGGACCAACAAUGACAACUGCUGAACAAACAACUGCUGGACCAAGAGCAUCAAGUGCAGGACAAACUACAAAAACGUUCAAAACACCAACUACUACACCAGGAGCUAAAACUGAAGGAAGAAUAGCCACAUCUUCUGACCAGAGAACCCCAACACCAGGAAAAACAACAACCUCGGAACUAUCAACUACUGCAGCAGGAUCCACAAGAACCAAUUCAGGACCAACAACGACUACUUCAGGACCAACAACAACAAAUGCAGGACCAACAACGACAAUUACUGAAUCAACAUCAUCAACCGCAUUCUCAACAACUACAACAGCAAAACCUGAAACAACUACCGGACAAAUUCCAACAACAGCAGGACGAACAACUACUAAAGAAGGACACACAACUGCUAAAGCAGGAGCCGCAACAACAACCACAGGACCACCCAGAACGACCACUGCAGGACCAUUAACUUCUACCACGGGACCCACAACAACAAUUGAUGGACCAAAAACAACAAUUGCUGAACCUACAAAAACAAAUCCAGGACCAACAACAAUAACUGCAGGAACGACAAUUACUACUUCUGAACAGAUAACACCAACUGAAGGACCCACAACAUCAACGGCUGGACCACAAGCUACUGCAGGACCAAAAACAACUACUAAAGGACCAACAAUAAUGACUGCAGUUCAAAUAACUACUACAGCCGGGCAAAAAUCAUCAGGAUCAACAACCGCAGGAACAUCAACCAUGACAGCAACACCUGCAACACCGUCUGCAGGAGAAUCAACAACUGCAGGACCAAUAACAACAACUGCAAGACCAACAACAACUGCCGGACCAACCACAACAAUUUCAGGAACGACAAAGUCAACUGUAGGACCCACAGCGAUAACUGCAGGACCAAUAAGGACAACAGCAGGACCAAAGGCAACCACUGAUGAACCAAAAACAACAACUAUUGGUCCCAAAACAACUUAUGCAAGACCUAUAACAACAACUGCAGGACCAACAAUAAUGACUGUAGAACUAAUAACUACUACAGCCGGCCCAAAAUCAGCAGGAUCACCAACCGCAGGAACAUUAGCUAGGACAGCAACACCUGUAACAACGCCUGCAGGAGAAUCAACAACUGCAAGACCAACAAUAAUGACUGAAGGACCAACAACAUCUGCAGGAUCUACAGCUGCAGGACCAGCAACAAUUACUGUGGUACCAA
ensembl:lncRNA